rnacentral:rRNA from 1 species
AGUGAACGCUGGCGGUAGGCCUAACACAUGCAAGUCGAACGGCAGCACAGUAAGAGCUUGCUCUUACGGGUGGCGAGUGGCGGACGGGUGAGGAAUACAUCGGAAUCUACUUUUUCGUGGGGGAUAACGUAGGGGAACUUACGCUAAUACCGCAUACGACCUACGGGUGAAAGCAGGGGAUCUUCGGACCUUGCGCGAUUGAAUGAGCCGAUGUCGGAUUAGCUAGUUGGCGGGGUAAAGGCCCACCAAGGCGACGAUCCGUAGCUGGUCUGAGAGGAUGAUCAGCCACACUGGAACUGAGACACGGUCCAGACUCCUACGGGAGGCAGCAGUGGGGAAUAUUGGACAAUGGGCGCAAGCCUGAUCCAGCCAUACCGCGUGGGUGAAGAAGGCCUUCGGGUUGUAAAGCCCUUUUGUUGGGAAAGAAAAGCAGCAGGUUAAUACCCCGCUGUUCUGACGGUACCCAAAGAAUAAACACCGGCUAACUUCGUG